AGUGAACGCUGGCGGUAGGCCUAACACAUGCAAGUCGAACGGCAGCACAGUAAGAGCUUGCUCUUACGGGUGGCGAGUGGCGGACGGGUGAGGAAUACAUCGGAAUCUACUUUUUCGUGGGGGAUAACGUAGGGAAACUUACGCUAAUACCGCAUACGACCUACGGGUGAAAGCAGGGGAUCUUCGGACCUUGCGCGAGUGAAUGAGCCGAGGUCGGAUUAGCUAGUUGGCGGGGUAAAGGCCCACCAAGGCGACGAUCCGUAGCUGGUCUGAGAGGAUGAUCAGCCACACUGGAACUGAGACACGGUCCAGACUCCUACGGGAGGCAGCAGUGGGGAAUAUUGGACAAAGGGCGCAAGCCUGAUCCAGCCAUACCGCGUGGGUGAAGAAGGCCUUCGGGUUGUAAAGCCCUUUUGUUGGGAAAGAAAAGCAGCAGGUUAAUACCCCGCUGUUCUGACGGUACCCAAAGAAUAAGCACCGGCUAACUUCGUG
rnacentral:rRNA from 1 species